AUUGAACGCUGGCGGAAUGCUUUACACAUGCAAGUCGAACGGCAGCACGGACUUCGGUCUGGUGGCGAGUGGCGAACGGGUGAGUAAUGUAUCGGAACGUGUCCAGUCGUGGGGGAUAACGUAGUGAAAAUUACGCUAAUACCGCAUACGAUCUAUGGAUGAAAGCGGGGGAUCGCAAGACCUCGCGCGAUUGGAGCGGCCGAUAUCAGAUUAGGUAGUUGGUGGGGUAAAGGCCCACCAAGCCAACGAUCUGUAGCUGGUCUGAGAGGACGACCAGCCACAAUGGAACUGGUACACGGUCCAGACUCCUACGGGAGGCAGCAGUGGGGAAUUUUGGACAAUGGGCGAAAGCCUGAUCCAGCCAUUCCGCGUGCAGGAUGAAGGCCCUCGGGUUGUAAACUGCUUUUGUACAGAACGAAAAGGUUUCUACUAAUACUAGGAGCUCAUGACGGUACUGUAAGAAUAAGCACCGGCUAACUACGUGCCAGCCGCCGCAGUAA
rnacentral:rRNA from 1 species